UACGUAGGGGGCAAGCGUUGUCCGGAGUUACUGGGCGUAAAGCGCCCGUAGGCGGUGUGCUACGUGUGUGGUGACAGCCCCGCGCUUAACGCGGGGAGGGCCGCAUACACGGGUACACUGGAGCACCAGCGAGGGACAUGGAACUCCGGGUGGAGUGGUGAAAUGCGUAGAGAUCCGGAAGAACACCAAAGGCGCAGGCAGUGUCCUGGCUGGGCGCUGACGCUGAGGGGCGAAAGCUAGGGGAG
rnacentral:rRNA from 1 species